rnacentral:rRNA from 1 species
AGUGAACGCUGGCGGUAGGCCUAACACAUGCAAGUCGAACGGCAGCACAGUAAGAGCUUGCUCUUACGGGUGGCGAGUGGCGGACGGGUGAGGAAUACAUCGGAAUCUACUUUUUCGUGGGGGAUAACGUAGGGAAACUUACGCUAAUACCGCUUACGACCUACGGGUGAAAGCAGGGGAUCUUCGGACCUUGCGCGAUUGAAUGAGCCGAUGUCGGAUUAGCUAGUUGGCGGGGUAAAGGCCCACCAAGGCGACGAUCCGUAGCUGGUCUGAGAGGAUGAUCAGCCGCACUGGAACUGAGACACGGUCCAGACUCCUACGGGAGGCAGCAGUGGGGAAUAUUGGACAAUGGGCGCAAGCCUGAUCCAGCCAUACCGCGUGGGUGAAGAAGGCCUUCGGGUUGUAAAGCCCUUUUGUUGGGAAAGAAAAGCAGCAGGUUAAUACCCCGCUGUUCUGACGGUACCCAAAGAAUAAGCACCGGCUAACUUCGUG